UGUAUAUUAGGUUCACUGAUGAGAUUGUAGCUUUGGAAUUAGGUUCAAUUUAUGUUAAAUUGUAUGCUCAUUAUUUCCAAAUCAUUCUUUUUAAGAGAUAUAGGCAUGCAUGACAAGAAAUGGUUUUUAAAACUUCAAAGUUUUUUCCUUUUUGAUUUGUAACAGGCUUGGGGAUUCAAUAUAUUCUUAUAUUUUUGUGUGAUGACAAUAAGGAAGAUGAACGGGUUUGAACAUGAGAUGUCUACACCAAAAAAGAAUAAUUCAUCAAGUACCAGCAAGCAUGGUACACAUGGUUACCAAAACGAGCAACGGACGUAACUAAAGAGCUAGAUGUAUUAGUAGAGAAUAUUGACAAGGAUACCGAAUCUGUUAUUCUGGGUUCUGGGAAGUCAUGGGUUCAGGAAGGUGUUGUGUUAAUUCAAGCAGUGAACUACUUCAAAUAUAUUGGUGAUGCUAAGGGGUGGCGCAAAGUCCAGACAAGGAAGCUAUGGACAUAUGUCAUUUCAUGUAUUAUCAUAAUCUUUCAGCGGUCACUUCAAGCAUACGUUUUUACAGAAAAACUUGGUUGCAUAAUCCUUACCUCUAUUGAGUUUGAAUACGACCAUUACUCCUCUAGGAACUAAAUUAAGAAUUACAAUUGAGAUUUUUAAAGUUGUUUUUUGCUAA